rnacentral:rRNA from 1 species
CGCGUAGGCGGCCUAUUAAGUCGGUUGUGAAAUCUCCCGGCUCAACUGGGAGGGGUCGACCGAAACUGGUAGGCUUGAGGACAGCAGAGGGAGGUGGAAUUCCCGGUGUAGUGGUGAAAUGCGUAGAUAUCGGGAGGAACACCAGUGGCGAAGGCGGCCUCCUGGGCUGUUCCUGACGCUGAGGCGCGAAAGCGUGGGGAGCAAACAGGAUUAGAUACCCUGGUAGUCCACGUUGUAAACUAUGGACACUAGGUAUGGGGGGUAUCGGACCCCCUCCGUGCCGAAGCUAGCACUAUAAGUGUCCCGCCUGGGGAGUACGGUCGCAAGACUAAA